AUGCCAGGCAUAACUGCGAAUAUUUUUCUUUCCUUGUUUCGUUUGGAAAUGACAAGAACACUAAUAUACAUGCUAUUGUUGCCUUUAUUCUACAGAGAAUGAGGAAGAACAGAGAGACCUUGUAACUUGUGUAAAAGCACACAGUUCUCAACAGCAGUGCUGGGCUAUAGAUGUGGGCAUCUGGACUGAGACAAAGGAGAGACUCCACGGAAGACGGAUUCAUCCAACAGGCAGGUGGCACAGGAGACAGUUGCUUCCUGGGAAAUCCAGCAGGAGACUCAAAGUUGUCCCCAAAGUCAUCGGUGGAGAUGGCAUUAGAAGAAGGUGUCAGUACAAUCUGGCUUCAGGGCACAUACUUUCCUGAACACGUCCUCAGCUUAGAUGAUGUCUGCACUACAACUCCAACCACACUGAGGAGGGGCAUCAAUCAGGUCUGGACCCUUCCUUCCUUCCAUAGAAGCUCGCCACUGCUCAGGCUGACAGUGAUAUUCACUUCCUGCUCGGUAUUUCUGCUCACUAGUCAAUCAUCUUUGAAUGAGCCUGGUUUGCCCUGUGUUCUGUUGUAUCCUCCAUAAGUGUUUUUAGAAUGAAUGAGUAGAUGUUUGUUAAACGGUCAAUGAAGGUGCUGUAUAGCGAGUUCUUCCAAAUUGGAUCACUGCUUCUAGGAGGGAAGGCAGAGGCACAUAGGAAGUAAAAAGCCAACAAAAACAUAUGAAGCCCAGGAAGUUCCUAAAGUUAAGAGAUUUACAAGGUUGAAGUCCCUCCUCAACUGUGGAGAGCCUUUGAAGGACCUCUUGGCAGGAAUCUGACAUUGGCCAAAGACAAGGAAAUGGACUUCAGGAAGGAAUCUGACACCAGGGUAUGGCGAAGAAUUAAGUUCAGGCAGGAAUCUUAAUCUUAGGGUGGAACAAAAGAAGCAGGCUUCAGGUAUGAAUGUGACUUUGGGCUAGGACAGGCAAGUAGGCUCAGAUAUUUUGAUCAUCCUGAUAAGCCCUUAGAAACAUUGAUCAUGUGACUUUAUUGUCUUGCCUGUUCCUUGACUGUUGGUGUUUAUUGUCUUGUUUGUUCCUCAUUAAACUGGUAUAAAAGUGGAAUGGAAAAAAAUAAACCUGCCUUCAGUCUCAA